rnacentral:rRNA from 1 species
AGUGAACGCUGGCGGUAGGCCUAACACAUGCAAGUCGAACGGCAGCACAGUAAGAGCUUGCUCUUACGGGUGGCGAGUGGCGGACGGGUGAGGAAUACAUCGGAAUCUACUUUUUCGUGGGGGCUAACGUAGGGAAACUUACGCUAAUACCGCAUACGACCUACGGGUGAACGCAGGGGAUCUUCGGACCUUGCGCGAUUGAAUGAGCCGCUGUCGGAUUAGCUAGUUGGCGGGGUAAAGGCCCACCAAGGCGAGGAUCCGUAGCUGGUAUGAGAGGAUGAUCAGCCACACUGGAACUGAGCCACGGUCCAGACUCCUACGGGAGGCAGCAGUGGGGAAUAUUGGACAAUGGGCGCAAGCCUGAUCCAGCCAUACCGCGUGGAUGAAGAAGGCCUUCGGGUGGGAAAGCCCUUUUGUUGGGAAAGAAAAGCAGCAGGUUAAUACCCCGCCGUUCUGACGGUACCCAAAGAAUAAGCACCGGCUAACUUCGUG